AGGUUCGUCACCAGGGGAAAACAUACAGGCCUCAAACCCUCGUCAGUUGAUGAAGUCCAAAGGAGUCCGCACAGUCGAAGUAGAGGACAACAUGAGAGAGGACGGUCGUAAAGACAGCUUAAUCGAUGUGGAUGUUGUGUUCUUUCGUUGCACCAACUUGCAUUUCAUUCAGUGUUUUUAAUUUGGCUGCUGUGAUUAAAUCUAUUAUCCAUUACCGGC